UCUUGACUUCUCUUAACCUUCUAUAUUUCCUUUAUUUUCCCUUUUUUUAAUUUUUAGGGAUCACUCAGCCUUCAUUUUGUAUAAUAAAGUAUAAUGAAGAGAGAUUGGUGUGAUAUAUCCAUUAGGAGAAAGGCAGUGACAAUGAAAAUUGAAAGAAAGAAUCCGAUUCAAGGGACAUUUAUGAGGAAGUGUUCAAAACAUCUAAAUGAUAUCCUCAAGUUUAACUUUCAGCUAACUGAUUAAAACAUUUCAGUCUUAAGCUUCGAGCACUGCCAAUCAUCUCCCAGGGUCACUGAGACGUAUGUCACCACUUCGAAAUUCUUUUUAUGAGCUUUAGGAAAACAAAUAACAGUCUUGUAUGUUCCUCUCCGUGGGAUAAAGUUACAGGUACAGCAUUUUAUAAUAUUGGUGUUGAAGGAAGAUAUUUUUGUUAAUAUUAAGAAAAUAGUGUAAAUAAUAAU
rnacentral:lncRNA from 1 species